CCUACGGGCGGCAGCAGUGGGGAAUAUUGGACAAUGGGGGCAACCCUGAUCCAGCCAUGCCGCGUGUGUGAAGAAGGCCCUCGGGUUGUAAAGCACUUUCAGUGAGGAAGAACGCCUGGUGGUUAAUACCCAUCAGGAAAGACAUCACUCACAGAAGAAGCACUGGCUAACUCCGUGCCAGCAGCCGCGGUAAUACGGAGGGUGCGAGCGUUAAUCGGAAUUACUGGGCGUAAAGCGCGCGUAGGUGGCUUGAUAAGCCGGUUGUGAAAGCCCCGGGCUCAACCUGGGAACGGCAUCCGGAACUGUCAAGCUAGAGUGCAGGAGAGGAAGGUAGAAUUCCCGGUGUAGCGGUGAAAUGCGUAGAGAUCGGGAGGAAUACCAGUGGCGAAGGCGGCCUUCUGGACUGACACUGACACUGAGGUGCGAAAGCGUGGGUAGCAAACAGGAUUAGAUACCCCGGUAGUC
rnacentral:rRNA from 1 species